rnacentral:rRNA from 1 species
AGCGGCAACAGCUCAAAUUUGAAAUCUGGCCCCCCGGGCCCGAGUUGUAAUUUGCAGAGGAUGCUUUUGGCAAGGCGCCGCCCGAGUUCCCUGGAACGGGACGCCGCAGAGGGUGAGAGCCCCGUCUGGCUGGACGCCGAGCCUUCGUAAAGCUCCUUCGACGAGUCGAGUAGUUUGGGAAUGCUGCUCAAAAUGGGAGGUAUAUGUCUUCUAAAGCUAAAUAUUGGCCAGAGACCGAUAGCGCACAAGUAGAGUGAUCGAAAGAUGAAAAGCACUUUGAAAAGAGGGUUAAACAGUACGUGAAAUUGUUGAAAGGGAAGCGCUCGUGACCAGACUUGGGCUUGGGGGAUCAUCCGGCGUUCUCGCCGGUGCACUUCCCCUCGCCCAGGCCAGCAUCAGUUCGCGCCGGGGGACAAAAGCUUCGGGAAUGUGGCUCCUCCGGGAGUGUUAUAGCCCGUUGCACAAUACCCUGGGGCGGACUGAGGUUCGCGCAUCUGCAAGGAUGCUG